UACGUAGGGUGCAAGCGUUGUCCGGAAUUAUUGGGCGUAAAGGGCUCGUAGGCGGUCCGUCACGUCGGGAGUGAAAUCCUGGGGCUUAACCCCAGAACUGCUUCCGAUACGGGCAGACUAGAGGUAGGUAGGGGAGAAUGGAAUUCCUGGUGUAGCGGUGAAAUGCGCAGAUAUCAGGAGGAACACCGGUGGCGAAGGCGGGUCUCUGGGCCGUAACUGACGCUGAGGAGCGAAAGCGUGGGGAGCGAACAGG
rnacentral:rRNA from 1 species